AAAAUUAAAAGAUUUGCCUCAUUGCAUUAAUACUUCAUUAACUGGAUUUUUUUUUUCAUUAACUUCAACUCGGAGAUUCGCAGCAGACAAUAUCUGCACAUGUAGUUUAAUGACAAUCUCCUCACCCUGUUGUUCUUACAUAUAAGAAAAUCUCCAUUAUAUUAUCCCAAGAAAUUUAAGAAACUGUUGCCAAAAAUACGAGGAUUCAUCAGAGCCUUGAAAAUGGUUUUGGCGCAGCAAAUAAAGUGGAAGUUGGUGAUACAUAUGGGGCCUUAUUAGGACUAGUUUUACUUGAAUGAUUGCCUCUCUCUUCUUCUUCCUCUUUCUCUUCACAUUCUUUCUCUCCAUUAACCUCCUUUGCUGCAUCAUCGACCAUAGUACACCGAGAACUAUUGUGGCUGCUUGAUGGAGGAGAAUAGCUAACAUCGAUCACCUUUCUAGUUAUGGCUGGAAAGAGUGAUGGCAGAAUAUCAACAAGACGAGUCUUAAUGCGGUUCAAGGCAUCUUUGGUGAGACCAUGAGCAGCAAAAGUGACAUCUUUAACCACGGUUUCUAAGAAGUGAUGUGCAGUCUCCAAGGCAUCGGCAGGGAUGGCAGCAGCAGACAGCUUCUCCUUUAUCACCCGCACAUGUCUCCUUAUCUCCUCCAUCACCCCCAUGCCUUAAUUGCCUUGUUCUUCACUUGGAUUGCCUUGUGUUGUCUCACAUAGCUCCACUUCUUAAUUUUGAUAGUGAUUUGGAAGAUUGGGCUUAACUCCACCUUUAAAGAAAUCUUAUGGAGGAGAAUUGUUUAAGUCAUAAAAAGCAUUUUAUCAACUUAGGCAGUAGAUGUGAGUAGAGCUGGCAUGAAAUUUGUAGAACUGGAUAU
rnacentral:misc_RNA from 1 species